rnacentral:lncRNA from 1 species
UGAAAAAAUAUCUUUAUUUAUUUAAAUUAUUUUAUAGAAUCUCCCAAAAGAUUAUCCCUUUUUUGUUCGAUUCAAUCCCAUGAGAACCUGAAAAUAUCAAUCAGAAACUCUCUCUCUCUCUCUCUCUCUCUCUCUCUCUCUCUUUCACACGCGCGCGUGCGCAGUGUACCAGAUUCGCUUCUUACUCGGCUUCAUUCCACCGCUCUGCAGUUUCAGAUGAAUUGCCUUCCGAAUCUUCCAAGGUUUGUGCUAAUCUACGGGCUUAUCGAUUCUGGAUUGAGUCAAUCAUUUCAUAUUUGUUAAUAUUUCGUGUUUCAGAUCCUCUGCAUUGCCUCUGCAGAGCUUCAAAAACUAUGCCAGAAGUCUUCGAUGUCCCGUCAUUAUACUAGUAAGAGGAAUUAAAGUCUAGACGAACAAUGAAAAUUCAAAAAUAUUGAAUUUACAUUUCCAUAUGGAUGGUAAUAUGUUCUAAUUAAUGUGCUAUUUGGAGGGUUGUUCGUUUGUAUAAUAAUUUUUUUAUGAUUGUGAUUCAGGGUGUGGAGAGAGGUAUUGAUUUAUCACAGACACAAGUUAAUGUUUUAAAGGUAAGAUUUGAAAGG